rnacentral:rRNA from 1 species
GAUGAACGCUGGCGGCGUGCUUAACACAUGCAAGUCGAACGGUGAACGAGGGAGCUUGCUCCCUCCGGAUCAGCGGCGAACGGGUGAGUAACACGUGAGCAAUCUGCCCUGGACUCUGGGAUAAGCGUUGGAAACGACGUCUAAUACCGGAUACGAGACGCGAAGGCAUCUUCAGCGUCUGGAAAGAACUUCGGUCCAGGAUGAGCUCGCGGCCUAUCAGGUAGUUGGUGAGGUAACGGCUCACCAAGCCUACGACGGGUAGCCGGCCUGAGAGGGUGACCGGCCACACUGGGACUGAGACACGGCCCAGACUCCUACGGGAGGCAGCAGUGGGGAAUAUUGCACAAUGGGCGCAAGCCUGAUGCAGCAACGCCGCGUGAGGGACGACGGCCUUCGGGUUGUAAACCUCUUUUAGCAGGGACGAAGCGCAAGUGACGGUACCUGCAGAAGAAGCACCGGCCAACUACGUGCCAGCAGCCGCGGUAACAC